rnacentral:lncRNA from 1 species
GAAAUUCCUUGUAAGAAUAAUCACUGAAAUUGACUGUAGAGGUCCGAAAGAGGUCAUAGUUGAUAGAGAUGUUGAUGGGGGGGGGGGGGGGGGGCGAAGGGUGAACUGAAAGAACCUUGUGUAAUCGGUCUCUGUCCUAACCCAAAUAGUAAUAACAGAAAGAGAAAGUUGAAAUCAACCAAUUUUAAAUCAUCAUUGCAAACAUCGGUAAUGUUCACAAUGUGAGGAGACCGGACUGGCACUGAAUGUAUAAUGAAUUACUAAAUCACUUUGCUGUCAACGGUUUUCUUCAGCAACAGAAUUUGACUCUUCGCUUUUGUAUCCUCUUCUUUAUUACAUGAGUAUAAUGUAAACGUAUCUUGUUCGCUCACUCAGUUCUAAUGAUUCGUUUUCUUUUUCUGUUGCAGUCAAACCAAAACCGAAAAGUAUAUCUAAAGGGAAAAAGUGCAAGAAAAACGGUGAGAAUGUGGCUGUAGAAGAAGUUAAGGAAGAGCCCUGCAAGUCACCAGCAGCCACCGCCGUAGAGAAGGAGAAAGAGGCGGAAGCGAAGGCGAGAUUAUCGGCACCCUCAUCGCCGGUAGAUCGUCCGUCGAGGCGGAGUCCGUCGCCGAAAUCGGAACCCGUCCAAGUCGAAGCGGAUCCCACCCCAACCCUCUACCGCCCCCGCACCGGCCCCGGAUCCAGCAGCAGAAGCGGAUACCAAGUGUGAAAGUGCGGAAGGAGAACCGGCCGCGGGAAGUCGGAAAGCGGCAACACCGCCGGUCAGUGAUUUGCGAGUGAGUGAUAGUGGUAGUGGAGUGAAGAGUGAAGCGAAGGAUACGCCAAAGGAUAAGGAUACCUGGAAGGAGGAGUGCGUGAAGGAGGAGUGCGUGAAGGAGGAAGAUGCGUGCGUGAAGGAGUGCGCGAAGGAGCAGACGCAGCUCGAGCGUAUCGGGAUCGAGAAUGAAGGAGCGACGCUCUCGUUGUCGAGCAUCCCGUUGUCGGCCACUGUCAGAAGAAUGGACGAUGCCACCCCGAACAUCCUCCGGUUCCCCGACCGCGACGACCGCUCCGACUCGGGGCUGAGCUCGCUCCGCUCCGUCUCCGGCAGCUGCGCGAGCGGCGAUGAACGCUCCGGCUCGAGGAGCAGCGCCCUGAGCAGCUCGGACGAGCCACCACCCGCCCCGGGCCCCGGUCCGACGACCGGCCUGAACCUCAACCUCAACCUCAGCCAAAACCUGCAGAUCACCAGAUCCGCCCUAUUGGCCGCUAGUCACAGCCACCAGAACGAGAAGGGAGCAGAGGUGUGGCGCGACCCCAGCCUACUGCUGGCGGAGCCCGUGCGCCACGUGGACAGUGUGCAGCAUCAGUCGCUGCUCAUGUCGCAUCCUGCGGGGUCGGCCCCGCCGCAAGCCGCCAACCCUAGCGCCCACUACCCGCCGCCGCAGAGCAUCAUGAGCCCGCACCAGUUGUCCCUCCACCACCUGGCCCAGCCGAGCCUCUACUCGCAGAUCCCCGAGAUGCUCUUCGCCAGGCGCUUCUCCCCGCUCACCACCCACCCGGGCCACCCCGGCCACCCAGCCCACCCCGCCCACAACGCCCACCCGCCGACGAGCUCAUGGACCGGGAACGAGCUUACCCCAGGAACGACUCCUCAGGUAACUACACUUUUCUCCUCUUUCAACCCCUAUUACAAGUAUAAGAGGUGGUGGCCAUUUGAAUCACCUAUCCAGAAGGACGGCCCGUCAGAGAGAGGAAAAUAUCGCCUGAUAUCAAGGAGUAAAAGUUCAUGAGAGGCCCCUAAGGAGGCCCUGUCUCAGGCUGAGAAUACCUCGCUCAUAUCCGGAAAAAAAGGAAAAAAAGCGCCUGAAGAAGUUUUGCGAAGUACAGUCCGAAUAUAGCCCCAUAAUGUUGCCUCAG